GGCGUGUCGGGGGGCGUGAAGACAACCCCAGCAACGAAGGCAUCGAAGCCUGGAGACCUGGGCAGGGCCGUUGUCGGCGGGAGGCUGCGAGGCGUCCAUGUUUCCGCCCCUGGGCCCUCCAGGUCUUUGCUCCUGCGCCGCCUCCUCCCCGGGCACCCAGAGAAAAACCCCAGAUUGGGCGUCCUCCCCAGAAGUGGUUUCGCCCCGCCCGCUUCCCCGGAGUCAGCGUGGCCUAGCGGGGAAGCUGCUCCCCGCGGGUGUGGACAGAGAAUCUCCCUCUGUCGCCCAGGCUGGAGGGCGUGAUGUCCGCUCACUGCAACCUCCACCUUCCGGGUUCAAACAGUUCUCCUGCCUCAGCCUCCUGAGUAGCUGGGAUUCCAGAUGCACAGCUGACUGCCUCCUUUGGAAAGGCUGAUCAGAAACUCACAAGAAUGCAACUGCUCAUCUCUCACCUAUGUGUGACCUGGAGGCCCCCUUCCCUUUGAGUCUUCCUGCUCUUGCUUCAAGUUGUCCUGCCUUUCCAGACUGAACCAAUGUUCUUCUUACAUAUAUUGAUUGAUGUCUCAUGUCUCCCUAAAAUGUAUAAAACGAAGCUGUGCCCCGACCACCUUGGGUGCAUGUUAUCAGGACCUCCUGGGGGCAGUGUCACUGGUGCAUCCUCAACCUUGGAAAAAUAAACUUUCUAAAUUGAGACCUGUCUCAGAUUUUUGGGUUCACGAGGUACAUAAAUAACAAGGGCAAGAAUGUGGAAAAAUUGAAACCCUCAUACAUUGCUGGUGAGAAUGUAAAAUGGUGUAGCCACUUUGGAAAACAAUUUGGCAAUAUUUAACAAUGUUAAACAGUUACCACAUGAAAACUGAAGUCCACACAAAACCUUGUACAUGAAUGUUCAUAGCAGCAUCACUCAUAAUAGUCAAAAAAUGCAAACAACCCAAAUGUCAACUGAUGGAUAAAAUGUAGUAUAUCCAUAUAAUGGAAUAGUUUUUGUUUUAUUUAAUGAAAUAUUCAUCAGCAAUAAAAAAGAACUAGCUGCUGCUGUCUGCUAUAAUGUGGACCUUGAGAACAUUGUUAAAUGAAAGCAGUCACAAAUGACUCCAUGUUUUGUGUUUCCAUCCAUACGAAACGUCUAGAACAGAUAAAUCUAUAGAGGCAGAAAACAGAUUGGUGGCUGCGAGGGGCUGAGGGAAUGGAAGUGGGAAAUGACUGUUUAUGGGUAUAGGGUUUCUUUUCGGGAUGAUAACAUUCUCCUAAAAUUAGAUUGUGGUAUUGGUUCCACAACACUGAAAAACCACCUCACCUUAAAUUGGUGAAUUUUAUAGUACAUGGAUUAGAUCUCAACAAAAACUUUUAUUGAAGAAAAGAUUUAUCUGGAGAUGGAGAGUGAUGAUGGUUGCAUAGUAUGAAUAUACUUAAUGUCCUUAAAAAUUAAGGUGAUAAAUCUUGUUAUAAAUAACAAUUAAAAAUGAGUUUCAAUAAAUUAUUUGGGAACAUUUGCAUCUUA
rnacentral:lncRNA from 1 species